rnacentral:rRNA from 1 species
UACGGGGGGGCAAGCGUUGUUCGGAAUUACUGGGCGUAAAGGGCUCGUAGGCGGCCAACUAAGUCGGAUGUGAAAUCCCCAGGCUUAACCUGGGAACUGCAUCCGAUACUGGAUGGCUUGAAUCCGGGAGAGGGAUGCAGAAUUCCAGGUGUAGCGGUGAAAUGCGCAGAUAUUGGGAGGAACACCAGCGGCGAAGGCGGCACUCUGGGCUGGUACUGACGCUGAGGAGCGAAAAGCGUGGGUAGCGAACAGG